rnacentral:rRNA from 1 species
UACGGGAGGCAGCAGUGGGGAAUAUUGCACAAUGGGCGAAAGCCUGAUGCAGCUAUGCCGCGUGUAUGAAGAAGGCCUUAGGGUUGUAAAGUACUUUCAUCGGGGAGGAAAAAACAAAACUAAUAAUUUUAUUUCUUGACGUUACCCGAAAAAGAAGCACCGGCUAACUCCGUGCCAGCAGCCGCGGUAAUACGGAGGGUGCUAGCGUUAAUCAGAAUUACUGGGCGUAAAGAGCACGUAGGUGGUUUUUUUAAGUCAGAUGUGAAAUCCCUGGGCUUAACCUGGAACUGCAUUUUGAAACUGAAAUACUAGAGUAUCGUAGAGGGAGGUAGAAUUCUAGGUGUAGCGGUGAAAUGCGUAGAUAUCUGGAGGAAUACCUGUGGCGAAAGCGGCCUCUUAAACGAAUACUGACACUGAGGUGCGAAAGCGUGGGGAGCAAACAGGGAUUAGAUACC